GAUGAACGCUGGCGGCGUGCCUAAUACAUGCAAGUCGAACGAGGUCUUCGGACCUAGUGGCGAACGGGUGAGUAACACGUUGGUACCUACCCCGAAGUGGGGAACAACUGCCCGAAAGGGUGGCUAAUACCGCAUAAUACCGCAAGGUUAAAGCAGUAAUGCGCUUCGGGAGGGGCCUGCGUCCCAUUAGCUAGUUGGUAGGGUAAUGGCCUACCAAGGCGACGAUGGGUAGCUGGAUCGGGAGGUUGACCAGCCACACUGGGACUGAGAUACGGCCCAGACUCCUACGGGAGGCAGCAGUAAGGAAUCAUCCACAAUGGACGAAAGUCUGAUGGAGCAACGCCGCGUGCAGGAUGACGGCCUUCGGGUUGUAAACUGCUUUUAUACGGGAAGAUUAUGACGGUACCGUAUGAAUAAGGACCGGCUAACUACGUGCCAGCCGCCGCAGUAA
rnacentral:rRNA from 1 species